AGUAUUAUUAUCGUGGUAGCCAUUGUUCCGUAGGUGAACCUGCGGAAGGAUCAUU
rnacentral:rRNA from 1 species